rnacentral:lncRNA from 1 species
GAAGUGGCCGUGGGUUCCCAUUCUGACACAUGAGAGGGAAGAGAAGCUGACACUGCCUCUCCCUCACUUCCUGCCUAGAAUGUGGAAGUGAUGCUCAGUGCAAACCAAGUUAUGAAAGAGCAGAGGGAGCAGAAAGGGAAGAGUCUCUUCACAGAGAAGAUCAGAGAGACCAGGAGGAGGCCACAUGGCCUCUGAGAGAAGCCGGGGUGAGACCGAGGCCUGGAGCAGCCCAGACUUGUCACGCCAUCUUCUGGAACAUCACCCUGACUCCCCAAACCCUGAGCUCCAGCCCGAGUAUCUUGCGACUCCGUUACCUGCCGUCACGGUCGGAGGUGCCUGUUCUGGCCAAGGUGUUCCGUGCGCCCGACAAGACUGUUUGAACUAGGUUGGCAUCUGUCACGGUACAAAGCGUCCCUCCCGUUCUGGCCUGCCCCACACGGAGCUCCUACUUCCCUCCAGGGCCCAGGUCAAGCUGUCGCCUGCUCUGAGAAACUGCCUGAUCCCCACUCAGACCCGAGCUCAGUUGCACAUGGCUCCACUAUCAGUUCUCACGCUG